UACAAUACAGUAAUAAAUAAAGAAAAGACCUUUACGACAGCAGGUGUGGUAAAAACACUACAGCUUUGGUCAAAGCGGCCGCUGGAAUCUACACAAACUGAAAGUUACUAAUAGCCACUU